GUCAACGUUGCUCAACUUCGAUCUCGACGAAGAUCAUGUUAUACCAAGUAAAACACUGAUCAUUUAUGAUAAUCUUACAUUUUUAAAUACCUGGUUGCGCGCGCAUCCGAGUACGCGCAUGCGCGUGCGUCGCUCGAAGGAGAAACAAGGAAGAGGAGCGGCGCGGCGCGAAAAAGGACAGCGGAAAAUAGAGAAACAAAGCGAAAGGGAAGAGCAAUGACACACACGGUUACAUGCACGCGCUCACCAACGGCACACACCGAGGUGACGUAAGCGAUGAUUACGCGACGCUGCAACGAGUGCAGGCCGAGGCUGCAAGUUGCGCCGCAUGUAUAACGUUCGCAGAAUGCGGCAAUGCAUCCCUCCCCUCUGGCCCCUUCCUGCUCCCUUCAGCCAGUGCUACCGUUCCCUCCCCGUGUGUUGGUACGCGUGCGAACGAGCGGCUGCGUUCGUGUAUGAAGGACGAGGCCUUCAAGUACGUACGUACGUACAUACCGUAUGUAUGAGCCGGGUAACACGUUACUGGAGAUCAUCAGCUGACAAGUGGAGCCAAGAGAAACAGGAAGCGCGUCCGCGAGCCUCCUUCCACGAGAACGAGCGGAAAUUAGGAGAUAAGAAAUGAUCUUGAGAAACGUUAUCCCUGGAACGUAACGCUUUGCGAGAUACACCGAAUUUGCGUUUACAAUUUUUCAUGCCUUUAUUUUUCAGCUUGAAUAUUCUGCAGUGGAGAUAAUUUUCCUGAACACUAAUGGAGACCAUUAAAAAUAUUAACGACUUGAUACUUUGAAACGCCGAUGGAAUUUCAGCGAUACGCGUUUUCUUUCACCUUUUAAUUACGAGAGUUAAUUACAUCUUACGAUCAUCGAAUAUGUCAACCAAGAUUGAUUAGAACAAAGAAAGGAAGAUUAAGAGGUACGAUAAUCGACGUAAAAAAAGUUGCAAAAUUACUUAAACAUAAGAAGGUUUGCAAGUUCGAGGAAACGUUGAAAGGAAUAAAAUUUGCCACACGCCUAUAAUUACGAGCAGGGUCAUUGAUAAACGUUAGAAAUGUACGGGCGCUAAAAGAAAAUUACAGGAAAAGAGGGGGAUGGAGAGACUCGAGUCGCUUAUUAUUCCGAACGAAACGCAAAGAGGGGAACAAAACGGCGCUCGCCUAAAUACACCUUGCCGAGAUAUUAAAGAUAGAACGAGACUCGAAUCACUGUGAUUAACGUGUCCGACAACUCGAUGCAAUUUGUAUUAACACCUUGCACACUAGCUUCGCCUGACGUGCGAAAAAUGCGCGACGAAACAUUGUAUGCGACACAAAUUGUUUCUCGACCGUUAACUUCUUUCUUAGGCUCAUUUUUGCUCCUACAACACUUGGCAUUCUGAACAUUCCACUCGGAGCUUUUUCAAUAAUUAUUAUACUUCUUGUGCAAAUACAAAAUUUGAAAAUUUUAGAAAUAUGAAAUAUUUUAACCAACCCUAAAGGACAAUCUGAAGGGCAUCACAUCGAUCCAAAAUCUACUACAGUACCUCAAAAUGACUAAAUUGUAUAAUAAUGUACUCUCCGAGUCGCUAAUAACCCUUAGCGGUUGAUGCGACUUUAACCCCUUAGAAAUUUUGUGUUUGUAUUACUGAGAGCACCUAUAGGCGCCCACU